GUUUGCUGAUGAAAGAGGCAGCAUUGCAUAUUUGUGGUGGCUUAAAAAAAAAAAAGAGAAAAGAGAAAAAAGCGCCCAAAAAUAGCUUCCAUACACAGUCCACCCCAACGUAAAAAUGCAGAAGUUCAGAGGGAGCUUUAUCACUUCCUGAGAAAGAACAGAUGCAGUUUGGUUUCAUUUACAUGAACUAUAGAGGCUCCUUGUCUUAACCAGGCAGCCUUUUUUUUUUAUUUAUUUAUUUUUAAUUCCUUUCUUUUUUUUUUCCCUAAAUAUUUUUCGUGUUUAGGCAGAGGAUCAAGUUGAAGCAUUUCACUCCGCUCGUGAGGAAGCAGCAUCCUUGAAGAGCAAGUUGGAGGAAGCCAUUUCUGAGCAGCAAAGGCUCAGGGAUGUGAGUGCAGCUUUAACAAGCACUUGCCAGUUGCUUCAGGAAAAGGUGGAACACCAGAGAACAACUGCUAAUGCACUGAGAUGGGAACUGCUUCAGAGGAGACUCUGCGAGUUGGUGUGUCAGUGCUGUGCAGAGUUAGAAUCUGUCUAUGGUCUGCUGCCCACCUCAGCUGAACCUACAAAAGGGAAGGUAAGUGUUCUUUCUAUGACCAUUGCUGAGCUCUUAAAGUGUUUGGGCUUUUUCUUCA
rnacentral:lncRNA from 1 species